AAUAAGUUUAUUUUUUAAUUUUUGGAUACAAUAUUUUAACACUUCGUCUUAUUUAAAAUUUUUUACGAUUAAUAUUUUUCUUGUUACUACAUGAUAAAACAUGAAUAAUACUUUAUACGUGACUAAUUUUUAAAGGUUAUUGUAUAAAUUUUUCAAAUAAGAUGAAUGAUCAAACAUUAGACAUAGGAAUUUGAAAAAUGAAGUUAUU
rnacentral:pre_miRNA from 1 species